UUCUGUUAUUUGUGAUGUAGGUCUUACAGACGCCAUCAUGUGCUAUAUAGUCUAUCCUUAAGAGGAUUGUUCUGCUUCUGUUAUUUGUGAUGAAGGUCUUCAGAGAUGCCAUCAUGUGUUAUAUAGUCCUUAAGAGGUAUAUCCUUAAGAGGUUAGCUUGAGACCUUGUUUGUCAAAAGCAUGUUUUAUGACCUUAAAGAGUAAUGAUCUCAAGGUUACCUUGAAAGGGUCACUUACAUGCAUACUUUCCAGAGGUCGCUGGUGAAAUUACGGUUUCCAAUAGAGCGGAGAGAGCAACUGUUCGGAAUGCCUAGCUGAACGAAUGCAUGCUACAGGCUGCGCGACAACCUUGUCAUGAAGGGCCAACUUCUGCGGUCGUUGCGCUGACAGCCACGAAAGAAGCCGUAUCACCGUGGCUUUCGUAUGAAGAUUUGAUAUGGUAAUGUGUGUUGUCUUAUAGCAAAAUUGGUGGCUAGUACACAUUGAUUAUUACCAUUUAUUAAUUUUAUCAUGUUGAUAGAAAAAAAUAAUCAGCGGUUGUUAAAGGUCCUGCCAAGGAACAGCCAUGUAUUCUGCUUAAUAUAUAUUCAUGAAAAAAAAAAAAUACAUGACAAUAUUUUGUAAUGUCUUGAUUGUCAUUGUUUAUUACUAAAUUAUUUAACGGCUAUGUAAGCCGGAUCUGUAAUUGAGAGCACCUACUAUGCCAAUUAGCUUCUUAACAAGAGCUUGUGCUGUGUUGGAAGGUGGCUAUGAUCACGCAUAGGGUGUGUCAUGUUAACCUCUCACGAGUUGUACGCCUUCUUGCGCAUGUGGGGAGCUUCACAGCCUACAGUGACGAAGCCAACU